rnacentral:lncRNA from 1 species
GAGCCCGGGCUGCCCUCCCCUCUCACUCUCCCUCGGAAGCCGUCUCCCUGGAGCUCCCCGUUUCCCUCGCCUCCUCCCCGGCGGCCCCACCUCCCCCGGCCCCCCUCUGGAUCUCUCCCUCCCCGCCCCUGUCCCCUGCGGGGAGCGGGCGGCCGGAGGGGCAAGUUCAGUCCCGGGGCUGGCGGUUGGCGGGACCGGCUUUAGAGGUGAUGCGACCACCCUGGACCACGUGCAGCGGGGAGAAACUGGGCACCGUGGGGUGGAGGGAGCCCCCGCUUUAUCCUCGGCCACUCCCGAGUUCUUGUCCUCCCUCCCGCACGCCUGGCCCCCAGAGCCCUGCUCAAAGUUUGGAAAUGUCCUGGGGGUUGUAAAAGUUCCAAGAAAAGGUCAUCACUAUGUCAGAGAACCCUAUGGGACCUCGGAGGGGUCCCCUCUCUCCCUUGGUCUGUGUAGUUGAAAGUUGCCUGAUGAUCCAAGAACCGCAGUUCUCAGGAUGCAGUGCAGGCUGUUGGGAUGGAUGCUAAUGAUCCCUUUGGAAUCCUAAACUUCUGACAGUUUAAAAAUACAAGUUUCGGGCCAUGUGUGGUGGCUCACAUCUGUAAUCCCAGCAUUUGGGGAGGCUGAGGAAGGAGGAUCACUUGAAGUUACUUUGAGACCAGCCUGGGCAACACAGCAAGACCCCAUCUCUGCAAUCAAUCAGUCGAUCAAUAAAAUACAAGUUUUGUCUAAAUUCUGCUUUACUUGUAUUUCUCAAUUUUGAUACGUAGUGCUUCCUUUGGCAAACAGUUGCAAAUAUAUCUUAAUUUGUUUAUAUUUUUAACCCCCAAAUUAUUUGUGUUUUCUUAGUUUAGGGAUAUAUGAUUUUUAUCAAUUUCUAAUUUUAUUAUAUUUAAUUUUUGCUAUAAAUGAUGUUGCUUUUAGAAAUGCAUUCAGGCUUUCUUUGUAGUCCUGGACAUGGCUGAUCAUUGCAACUAAUUCUGUGUGUGCUUUAUUUUUGUUGGGUAUUAAUUUUGAGCUUAUUAUAAUGUUCAAAUCUUGUUUGGGAAUGACGUUAAAAUCUCCAG